UAGUGAGUUUGAUCCUGGCUCAGGGUGAACGCUGGCGGCGUGCCUAAGACAUGCAAGUCGAACGCAGUAGCUUGCUACUGAGUGGCGCACGGGUGAGUAACACGGUAACUGACCUACCCCGUAGUCCCGCACAACGGUCCGAAAGGCCGCGUAAUUCGGGAUGGUGAACCCGCACCGUGGUGCGUAGUUUAAAGAUUCAUCGACUAGUGGGAGUGGGGUUGCGGCGCAUCAGCUCGUUGGUGAGGUAA
rnacentral:rRNA from 1 species